UACAUGGGGUGCAAACGUUGCCCGGAAUUAUUGGGCGUAAAGGGCUCGUAGGCGGUCUGUUGCGUCGGGAGUGAAAACUUACAGCUUAACUGUGAGCGUGCUUCCGAUACGGGCAGACUUGAGGUAUUCAGGGGAGAACGGAAUUCCUGGUGUAGCGGUGAAAUGCGCAGAUAUCAGGAGGAACACCGGUGGCGAAGGCGGUUCUCUGGGAAUAUCCUGACGCUGAGGAGCGAAAGUGUGGGGAGCGAACAGG
rnacentral:rRNA from 1 species